UACGUAGGGGGCGAGCGUUGUCCGGAUUUAUUGGGCGUAAAGAGCUCGUAGGCGGUUCGGUAAGUCAGAUGUAAAAACUCCAGGCUCAACUUGGAGAGGCCAUCUGAUACUGCCGUGACUAGAGUCCGGUAGAGGAGCACGGAAUUCCUGGUGUAGCGGUGAAAUGCGCAGAUAUCAGGAGGAACACCAGCGGCGAAGGCGGUGCUCUGGGCCGGAACUGACGCUGAGGAGCGAAAGCAUGGGGAGCGAACAGG
rnacentral:rRNA from 1 species